rnacentral:rRNA from 1 species
CCUGGCUCAGAUUGAACGCUGGCGGCAGGCCUAACACAUGCAAGUCGAGCGGAUGAGUGGAGCUUGCUCCAUGAUUCAGCGGCGGACGGGUGAGUAAUGCCUAGGAAUCUGCCUGGUAGUGGGGGACAACGUUUCGAAAGGAACGCUAAUACCGCAUACGUCCUACGGGAGAAAGCAGGGGACCUUCGGGCCUUGCGCUAUCAGAUGAGCCUAGGUCGGAUUAGCUAGUUGGUGAGGUAAAGGCUCACCAAGGCGACGAUCCGUAACUGGUCUGAGAGGAUGAUCAGUCACACUGGAACUGAGACACGGUCCAGACUCCUACGGGAGGCAGCAGUGGGGAAUAUUGGACAAUGGGCGAAAGCCUGAUCCAGCCAUGCCGCGUGUGUGAAGAAGGUCUUCGGAUUGUAAAGCACUUUAAGUUGGGAGGAAGGGCAGUAAGUUAAUACCUUGCUGUUUUGACGUUACCGACAGAAUAAGCACCGGCUAACUUCGUGCCAGCA